rnacentral:rRNA from 1 species
GGAAGGAUCAUUAUUGA